rnacentral:misc_RNA from 1 species
GACGGAGGGUGCGAGCGUUGUUCGGAAUCAUUGGGCGUAAAGCGUGCGUAGGCGGUCAAGCAAGUCGGGUGUGAAAGCCCAGGGCUCAACCCUGGAACUGCGCUCGAAACUGCUGGACUUGAGUCCGGGAGAGGGUAGCGGAAUUGUCGGUGUAGAGGUGAAAUUCGUAGAUAUCGGCAAGAACAUCUGUGGCGAAGGCGGCUACCUGGAUCGAGACUGACGCUGAGGCACGAAAGCGUGGGGAGCAAACAGG